rnacentral:lncRNA from 1 species
UCGGAUUUGGAUUAGAGUAGUGUGUACUUGUCGUUAAUCUGUGAUUGGAAGCAUAGUGAUUGAGUUAAUGACCAACCAUUUUCAUUAUAUAUUUGAUUCUGUCUUUGCAUUCUGUUUUUACAAUUUUGUCUGCAUUUCUGUUUUCACAUUUUUGCUUGCAUCUGUGUUUUAAUUUAAUUCAUCCACAGUCACAAAACCUUUCAC